AGAAUGCUCAGUUAAAUUUGAAGUUCACAUAAACAACAUAUGCUUUUUUAGUAUAAGUAUAGCCCAUGAAAUAGUUGGGCUAUACUUAUGCUAAAAAAUGUUUUGUUGCUUGUCUGAAAUUGCAGUGUAACUGGGCAUGCUAU
rnacentral:miRNA from 10 species